ACGGCCUUCAUGUCGAAAAUGGUCUGAGAAAACAACGACGUCAUGUGCCGCACGCCGUCGCCUCCUCACCUAGGCGGCUGCCCAAUCGUGUCCCACCGUCGCUCACGGCUUCUCCACUCGGUCCCUAUUUCAGCAAGCUAUCUCCUCUCCUUUCAAUCUGUGUGUGCAUCGAGUGCCUUGAUAUAUUUUGGAGAAAUUGGUGG